rnacentral:rRNA from 1 species
UGGGGAAUCUUGCGCAAUGGGCGAAAGCCUGACGCAGCGACGCCGCGUGUGGGAUGAAGGUCUUCGGAUUGUAAACCACUGUCGGGAGGGACGAAGCUCUGACGGUACCUCCAAAGGAAGCACCGGCUAACUCUGUGCCAGCAGCCGCGGUAAUACAGAGGGUGCGAGCGUUGUCCGGAAUCACUGGGCAUAAAGGGCGCGUAGGCGGGCCGAUAAGUCAGGGGUGAAAUCCUCCAGCUUAACUGGAGAACUGCCUUUGAUACUGACGGCCUCGAGUAAGGUAGGGGCAUGCGGAACUGAUGGUGGAGCGGUGAAAUGUGUUGAUAUCAUCAGGAACUCCGGUGGCGAAAGCGGCAUGCUGGACCUUUACUGACGCUGAGGCGCGAAAGCUAGGGGAGCAAACAGGAUUAGAUACCCAGGUAGUCCCUGAGCGGGCUGGCAAGGCGCAU